rnacentral:rRNA from 1 species
GACGAACGCUGGCGGCGUGCUUAACACAUGCCAGUCGAACGGAAAGGCCCUGCUUUUGUGGGGUGCUCGAGUGGCGAACGGGUGAGUAACACGUGAGUAACCUGCCCUUGACUUUGGGAUAACUUCAGGAAACUGGGGCUAAUACCGGAUAGGAGCUCCUGCUGCAUGGUGGGGGUUGGAAAGUUUCGGCGGUUGGGGAUGGACUCGCGGCUUAUCAGCUUGUUGGUGGGGUAGUGGCUUACCAAGGCUUUGACGGGUAGCCGGCCUGAGAGGGUGACCGGCCACAUUGGGACUGAGAUACGGCACAGACUACUACGGGAGGCAGCAGUGGGGAAUAUUGCACAAUGGGCGGAAGCCUGAUGCAGCAACGCCGCGUGCGGGAUGACGGCAUUCGGGUUGUAAACCGCUUUCGCCUGUGACGAAGCGUGAGUGACGGUAAUGGGUAAAGAAGCACCGGCUAACUACGUG